rnacentral:rRNA from 1 species
AGGACGAACGCUGGCGGCGUGCCUAACACAUGCAAGUCGAACGAGGUUCAUUCAGUAGCAAUACUGGAGAAGACCAAGUGGCGAACGGGUGAGUAGCACGUGAGCAACCUACCCCGAAGACCGGGACAACACCGGGAAACCGGUGCUAAUACUGGAUAUCCCCAUCGGAUCGCAUGGUUUGAUGAGGAAAUGGAUUCCGCUUCGGGAGGGGCUCGCGGCCUAUCAGCUAGUUGGUGAGGUAACGGCUCACCAAGGCGUCGACGGGUAGCUGGUCUGAGAGGACGAUCAGCCACACUGGGACUGAGACACGGCCCAGACUCCUACGGGAGGCAGCAGUGGGGAAUCUUGCACAAUGGGCGAAAGCCUGAUGCAGCAACGCCGCGUGAGGGACGAAGGCUUUCUGAGUUGUAAACCUCUUUCAGCAGGGACGAUUAUGACGGUACCUGCAGAAGAGCACGGCACUACGUGCCAGCAGCCG